rnacentral:rRNA from 1 species
AUUGAACGCUGGCGGCAGGCCUAACACAUGCAAGUCGAGCGGCAGCGCGGGGCAACCUGGCGGCGAGCGGCGAACGGGUGAGUAACGCGUAGGAAUCUACCCAGUAGCGGGGGAUAGCCCGGGGAAACUCGGAUUAAUACCGCAUACGCCCUAAGGGGGAAAGCAGGGGAUCGUAAGACCUUGCACUAUUGGAAGAGCCUGCGUUGGAUUAGCUAGUUGGUAGGGUAAAGGCCUACCAAGGCGACGAUCCAUAGCUGGUCUGAGAGGAUGAUCAGCCACACCGGAACUGAGACACGGUCCGGACUCCUACGGGAGGCAGCAGUGGGGAAUAUUGGACAAUGGGGGGCAACCCUGAUCCAGCCAUGCCGCGUGUGUGAAGAAGGCCUUCGGUUGCAAAGCUCUUUUGUUCAGGGAAGAAACGGUGAGUUCUAAUACAGCUUGCUAAUGACGGUACCUGAAGAAUAAGCACCGGCUAACUACGUGCCAG